AUGAACGCUGGCGGCGUGCCUAAUACCUGCAAGUCGAGCGAACAGACGAGGAGCUUGCUCCUCUGACGUUAGCGGCGGACGGGUGAGUAACACGUGGAUAACCUACCUAUAAGACUGGGAUAACUUCGGGAAACCGGAGCUAAUACCGGAUAAUAUAUUGAACCGCAUGGUUCAAUAGUGAAAGACGGUUUUGCUGUCACUUAUAGAUGGAUCCGCGCCGCAUUAGCUAGUUGGUAAGGUAACGGCUUACCAAGGCAACGAUGCGUAGCCGACCUGAGAGGGUGAUCGGCCACACUGGAACUGAGACACGGUCCAGACUCCUACGGGAGGCAGCAGUAGGGAAUCUUCCGCAAAGGGCGAAAGCUUGACGGAGCAACGCCGCGUGAGUGAUGAAGGUCUUCGGAUCGUAAAACUCUGUUAUUAGGGAAGAACAAAUGUGUAAGUAACUAUGCACGUCCUGACGGUACCUAAUCAGAAAGCCACGGCUAACUACGUG
rnacentral:rRNA from 1 species